rnacentral:rRNA from 1 species
AGCGAACGCUGGCGGCAGGCCUAACACAUGCAAGUCGAACGGAUCCUUCGGGAUUAGUGGCGGACGGGUGAGUAACACGUGGGAACGUGCCCUUUGGUUCGGAACAACUCAGGGAAACUUGAGCUAAUACCGGAUGUGCCCUUCGGGGGAAAGAUUUAUCGCCAUUGGAGCGGCCCGCGUCUGAUUAGCUAGUUGGUGAGGUAAAGGCUCACCAAGGCGACGAUCAGUAGCUGGUCUGAGAGGAUGAUCAGCCACAUUGGGACUGAGACACGGCCCAAACUCCUACGGGAGGCAGCAGUGGGGAAUCUUGCGAAAUGGGCGAAAGCCUGACGCAGCCAUGCCGCGUGAAUGAUGAAGGUCUUAGGAUUGUAAAAUUCUUUCACCGGAGACGAUAAUGACGGUACCCGGAGAAGAAGCCCCGGCUAACUUCGUGCCAGCCGCCGCAGUAACAC